AGUGAACGCUGGCGGUAGGCCUAACACAUGCAAGUCGAACGGCAGCACAGUAAGAGCUUGCUCUUACGGGUAGCGAGUGGCGGACGGGUGAGGAAUACAUCGGAAUCUACUUUUUCGUGGGGGAUAACGUAGGGAAACUUACGCUAAUACCGCAUACGACCUACGGGUGAAAGCAGGGGAUCUUCGGACCUUGCGCGAUUGAAUGAGCCGAUGUCGGAUUAGCUAGUUGGCGGGGUAAAGGCCCACCAAGGCGACGAUCCGUAGCUGGUCUGAGAGGAUGAUCAGCCACACUGGAACUGAGACACGGUCCAGACUCCUACGGGAGGCAGCAGUGGGGAAUAUUGGACAAUGGGCGCAAGCCUGAUCCAGCCAUACCGCGUGGGUGAAGAAGGCCUUCGGGUUGUAAAGCCCUUUUGUUGGGAAAGAAAAGCAGCAGGUUAAUACCCCGCUGUUCUGACGGUACCAAAAGAAUAAGCACCGGCUAACUUCGU
rnacentral:rRNA from 1 species